GGUUCUGAUCGAUCAGUACUAAUUAAUUGGUACAUAUAUAUAUGAUCAUUCUUUAUUAUCACAACUAUGCAUUUGUUAUAAUUAAAAGGUUAAUGGGUGCAAAAGAUUGGUGAUUAAUUUAGAGUUGGAAGGGAUUAAAAUCGUAAGAAAAUAUGUUGUACACUAUAGGAGGUUUGAACUGUUUAAUUUGUCCCCAUUAUUAAGGACUUUCUGAACCUUUUGAUGUCUUUUUGUGUCAUGCAUGAUGACUUGAUAAGUCCCAAACUACAUUGUGAUAACACCCUUUCAUUUAGUUGGUGAGACAAGUCGAUAACUUUUGAUCCGAGAUCCCUUUUAUUGAAAAAAAUAGUUAAAUUUGAGAAAAACUUGUUUGUUACUUGCCUAGUUUCUUCUGUCCAUUAUCAAGAAAUUAACUUUUCAAAAUACCACCUAAAUAACUAUAUAACUAUGAUCAUGGAGUCAAUAGGUUGGGUAGAAAGAGCCUGAGGUGCAGCUAGUGUCAUCAUACAUGCAUCUUGCUACCUUUGGAGAUAUACUUAUGGACAAGAGGACAUGAGCGUCAUCUUGGUGAUGUGAACAAGUAGCUGAAGAUUAAGGUUUCUCUUGAACUAUCAUCGUUUAAGACUGAAGGACAAGGACUAAACGCUCUUCCUAAUUUUCUAUGGAUUUCUAAUGCAUCAGCAGAAGCUGUAAGCAGCUCCUUUUAUGUCCACCAUUCUCAAUCAAAUCACAUGGAUUGUGACAAACCUGAUCCAGUUCUUCAAAUAGGAUAUUCAUAAUUCUUGGAACCCCAAAUGAGAUGAUUUGGGAAGGGUUCUCCGAGCUUCCUGGGGUGAAAGUCAACUUUGUAAAGCACCCGCUUCCAUCUUUGAGUGAUUCUAGUUUGUCUUGGCUUUCUGGACUCCUUUGGUGAUGAUUUAUGGUGGGGAAAUAUUUUCAUUUUUUUGCUAACCAUUUGAUUUAUUUGUAAUAGGUAUAAUAAUUUAAGAAUGAAAUUUCAAAACGUGACAUCCUUCAUGGGGUUACCAGUCCUAUCAGAGGCAGGCCUUGGCCUGUUCAAUAAGCUUCUUACUUAUGAUCCUAAGAAGAGAAUAACUGCCGAUGCUGCUUUAAACCAUGAGUGAUUUCGUGAAGUUCCUCUCCCAAGUCUAAAGAAUUCAUGCCUUCUUUCCCUGCAUAGCAUGCACAAGAUAGGCAUGUACGAAGAGUAAUGAAUAGUCCAUAUCCUUGUAAGGAGCAGCGAAGAAAGGAACUGAAGCAAGGGGUGUUAGGAACUGGUGGAUUGUUUGGCUGAUAAGUUAAUAGUGCUCGGCAACUGUUUUGAGUCUUGCUUUCUCUAAUACUCAUGGGUUGACGUGAAGCCAAGUGAUGCAGCUAGUGGAUCCAUUUUGCCCAUGGAUGCAAGGAGAUCACUUGAUGAUAAUGAUCCUAACGACAUUGUUUGAUUUCGUUGCAUUUGUCUUGGAUAUUCAAUUAUGAUGGUGUAAUAUUGUGGUUGGUGUGAAUCUUAGAAUAUUGAAGGUUUUGUGUUUAAAUUUGAUUUUGUAGUUUGAAGAUAUUAGUUAAUGUUGAAAAUUUGGAGUUUGAAGAUGUUAAUGUUGAAAAUUUAAUUUUGAAGUUUAAAGUUCAAUGUAUUUUUGAUAUGCUUUUCAAUUACAAUGUUUAA